GGAGAGAUGGCUCAGUGGUUAAGAGCACUGACUGCUCUUCCAGAGGUCCUGAGUUUGAUUCCCAGCAACCACA
rnacentral:tRNA from 1 species